AAACUUUCAAGAACAAAUCUCUUGGCUCUGGCAUCAAUAAAGAACGCAGCGAAAUGCGACAACGAAUAUGAAUUGCAGAAUUCAGUGGACCCAUCGAAUCUUUGAACGCACAUUGCGCCCCUUGGUAUUUUGAGGGGCAUGCCUGUCCGAGCGUCAUUG
rnacentral:rRNA from 1 species